rnacentral:misc_RNA from 1 species
AUUAUCUCUCUUCUCUGCUCUCCAACUGUCACUCUUCCUACGCCGGCCGGCCGCCGUCCUCCGCCGUUGAUUCAUUUUUCCGGUGACUGUCUUCCACCUCACUUUUACCCACUUCCCCUAACCUUACAGGAUGAUAGCUAUUUCGAACUCUUUGCUUUUAUCAACAACCCCUUCUCUGCAUUUCACUUCAGGGUCCAGUUUGAAGUCGGCAGAUAAAAGUGUCGGUGGCACCACCAAAUUGGCCUUCAGUCCAAGGCACGGAGGAAAAUCAUCCUCAUCUAGAAGAUCAUUAACCGUUCAAGCAGAAUAUAGUGAUGGGGGGAGGCCAAGCAAUUCAAGCAUCUUUGUAGGUGGCUUUCUUUUAGGAGGAGUAAUCGUUGGUGCACUUGGUUGUAUCUUCGCACCAGAGAUUAGCAAGGCAUUAGCCGAAACAGAUAGGAAGGACCUCAUGAGAAAACUGCCAAAGUUUAUAUAUGAUGAAGAAAAAGCAUUGGAGAAGCAACGCAAGAUACUAACGGAGAAGAUAGUCCAAUUGAAUGAUGCUAUUGACGACAUCUCCAACCAGUUAAGGUCCGGGGAUGCAGAAAAUGGAGCUGCAGUGAACCUAGAUGAAGUUGAAAGUGUUAUAUAAACAACACUUACAAUUGGUUUUCAUGUAAAUGAAUAAACUUUCUGAACACAUUGAUCUAAUUCCAAGAGCAUUUUAUCUGGACUAUGUUAUAAAACUAUAUUACUGUCAAAUAUGAAGUGACAAUACAAG